rnacentral:rRNA from 1 species
UGCGUAGGCGGUUUAAUAAGUCAGAGGUGAAAGCUCACAGCUUAACUGUGGAAUUGCCUUUGAUACUGUUGAACUUGAAUCAGGUUGAGGUUGGCGGAAUGUGACAUGUAGCGGUGAAAUGCAUAGAUAUGUCAUAGAACACCAAUUGCGAAGGCAGCUAGCUGGACCUGAAUUGACGCUGAGGCACGAAAGCGUGGGGAGCGAACAGGAUUAGAUACCCUGGUAGUCC